UCGCCUGUUUAUCAAAAACAUGUCUUCUUGAUUAUUAAUUUGAAGUCUGACCUGCCCACUGAGUUUGACUUAAAGGGCCGCGGUAUUUUGACCGUGCAAAGGUAGCAUAAUCAUUAGUCUCUUAAUUAGAGGCUAGAAUGAAUGGUUGGACGAGGUAUUGACUGUCUCAAUGUAGAUGAAAUUAGAAUUUAACGUUUAAGUUAAAAGGCUUAAAUAAAUUUAAAGGACGAGAAGACCCUAUAGAGCUUUAUAUUAAUAUUUUAUUAUAAAUUUAGUUGAAUUAUUGUUAUAUCUAUAUUAAUAUUUUGUUGGGGUGACAGGAAGAUAUAUUAAACUCUUUUUAAAGUUUUACCAUUAAUUUAUGAUUAAUUGAUCCAUUAUUAGUGAUUAUAAGACGAAGUUACCUUAGGGAUAACAGCGUAAUCUUUUUUGAGAGUUCUUAUCGACAAAAAGGGUUGCGACCUCGAUGUUGGAUUAAGGGUAAUUUUGGGUGUAGAUGUUCAAAGUUUAGGUCUGUUCGACCUUUAAAUCCUUACAUGAUCUGAGUUCAAACCGGAGA
rnacentral:rRNA from 1 species